GUCUAUGGCUGUACCACCUUGAAUGUGCAUGAUCUCAUCUGAUCUCAGAAGUUAAGAAGGGUCAGACCUGGUUAAUACUUGGAUGGCAGACCACCUGUGGAUACAGGUGCAAUAGAAA
rnacentral:rRNA from 1 species